rnacentral:rRNA from 1 species
UACGGAGGGUGCAAGCGUUGCUCGGAAUUAUUGGGCGUAAAGGGUAGGUAGGUGGUCUCAUUUGUCAGGGGUGAAAGCCUUGGGCUUAACCCAAGAAGUGCCCCUGAAACGGUGAGACUUGAGUUCUGGAGAGGGUCGUGGAAUUCCCGGUGUAGCGGUGAAAUGCGUAGAGAUCGGGAGGAACACCAGAGGCGAAGGCGGCGACCUGGACAGAUACUGACACUCAACUACGAAAGCGUGGGGAGCAAAUAGG